AUGUCGCGCUUUACAUCACUCUUUGCGACAGUCGUGCCUUACAUCACUCUUUACGACAGCAGCGCUUUAUGGCCCCUUUUACAACAGUCGCACUUUACGGCCGGUUUUGCGACAGUCGCUCUUUAUGGCCCCUUUUACGACAGUCGCACUUUAUGGCACCUUUUACGACACUUUAUGACAGUCGCGCUUUACGGCAGUUUUACGACAGUCGCGCUUUACGGCACAUUUUACGACAGUCGCGCUUUACAGCACCUUUUACGACAGUCGCGCUUUACGGCCCCUUUUAUGACAGUCGUGCUUUACGGCAGUUUUACGACAGUCGCGCUUUACGGCACAUUUUACGACAGUCGCGCUUUACAGCACCUUUUACGACAGUCGCGCUUUAUGGCAGUUUUACGACACUUUACGACAGUCGUGCUUUACGGCACCUUUUACGACACUUUACAACAGUCGCGCUUUACGGCAGUUUUACGUCUGUCGCACUUUACGGCAGUUUUACGACAGUCGCGCUUUACGGCACCUUUUACGACAGUCGCGCUUUACGGCACCUUUUACGACAGUCGCGCUUUACGGCAAUUUUACGACAGUCGCGCUUUACGGCAAUUUUACGACAGUCGCGCUUUACGGCACCUUUUACAACAGUCGCGUUUUACGGCUCAUUUUACGACACUUUACGACAGUCGCGCUUUACGGCAGUUUCACGACAGUCGCUCUUUACGGCCCCUUUUACGACAGUCGUCCUUUACGGCACCUUUUACUUGGAACAACACUGUCAAAAUUGCCCUCACUGAAUGCCUCCUCAAUUCCCAGAGGUAAAACUAAAUGUCUGGUCUGGGAGAUUGUAAGGAUUGGGUGUUUUGUUUUCUUGAUCUGAUAAAUGAUCAGAACACUUCAAAUCAUGGGCAACUGCUUCAUUCCAGCAAGUUUUAACCCCGCCCCUAAAAUUCAAGGUCUACAUUCAAGACACACUCCAAGCAAUGUACACUGAAGGUUAAGAAUUUAUCUAGCACUUUUGAAUAUAGUGUUUAAUGCACUGAAUUAAAAAUUCAAAUCAUACUAGGUUCCAGGCUGGGGCUCACAAACAUGUUGUGAUCACCAAGUACCAAACAUCAUUAAAACCUGUCAGGAGCACACUGAAGAUCAGGAGAACCCAGACAAUGUGAGAGACAAGAACACACUGCAGAGCCCAGCUGGCACAACCUGCAUUUCAGGAUCUGAGUCCUAACAUGCAACAAGGUUUCCCGUGUGUGCCAUUCCACAGUCAGUUCCUGACUUGUCCCACAGUACCUGGACCAUCCAUCGUCUGCAGUCCCAGAGAAAUGGGGUUUAAACUGAUACUUAUUUAAACUUUACUCCAUUUAAGCCAAAUACUCUGUAAAAUUUCUGAAAAAUUAACCACUUGCAUGUAAAAACUACACAAAUCUUCAUUCUGUAACUGACAACACAAAUAAUGUUUCAUUUGCACUCUAAAAAUUACAUUUCUGUACAGUAAAGCACAACUUAAACCCUUCUCAGGUAUUCAAGUCCUACCCAAGAAAGGAGAAUGAAAGUUAUUAUAAUCUGGCUAAAGCCAUGGAGAUUUAUGGAGAUACCUUAAACAGAGCUGUAACAAUUUGACAAAGGAGAGCACAUCCAAAUUUUGAGCCAUGCAGAAGGGAGUUCCCAGAGGUGCUGCUUGAGGUGUCUGCACAUGGAAUGACUGGACACCCAUCAUGGCAGAUUUUGUAUUACUGAACUUCUUGUACAAAAGCUGAUUUCAAAUAAAACAUUUAAUGAAAAACA
rnacentral:lncRNA from 1 species